GGACUGAGCUUCAGACACUGGAAGUCAGUUGCACCUAUUUGUCAAAAUGUUUCUUUGUAAUGCUGUUUAUAAUGUAAGUGGGAUUCUUAAAGAAAAUUAUUCUCUAUUUCCUCUUGUCAGUUUUAACAUUCACUAUGCUGAAAUAGUAAGAUCUUCAUGCCAUGUAGAAUCAACAAUAAGGUGAAAGGCCGUUUAGUCCGACCAACACUCUUCUCUAGGUAGCAUACUGGUUUGCCUGAAAAAAGACACUGCUUGCAUGGUUUAAUAAAGUAAAUAUUGACUCA